UUGUUUUUCCGACGUAGUCGGUAUAGUUUCGGUUUGUGCCCUUUGAACUUAAUGACGCUUAACUAUGGCAACAUAAUACACAUGCUUUGAAAAUCCUUUCUGUGAUUGGACAAAAUGCUGUCAUGGUGGGUGAUUUGGUUGUGUUUGAAAAAAAAAAACGUCUCGUUAAUUAUAUCGUGAUGGAAAGCAAGUGAAAAACUAUAAAUAUUUGAACUAGAUCUUACAAAGAUUUAUAUUUUUAUUAAAAUAAUUGUUUCUCCAAUAGCUCUUUGCAUCCGUGACAGCUGUUUAUUCGGGACAAUUAUAUAAUUUUUAAGGUAAACUUUGUUGUACGAACGUACAUGACUUUUUGAACGCACCUACGCAUGUGAGAUUUCCGCGUGGUUUUAGUGAAUGUAAACAGAAAGAUACGAGGACCGAGAAUACUGAACACAAACAGAGAAAACGUUAUUUAAAUGGUAUCUUUGUGCUUCUGAAGGGUAUCGAAAUGAUAGUUUUAAACAUAUACUCAAAUUUAAAUACGUCGGAUAUCUUUUUUAAAGAUAGUUCUUGUUUUUCAAU
rnacentral:lncRNA from 1 species